UUGCUGGUAUAUAAUAAAGUGGUGCGCAUCAGAGUUGCUGCUAUCUUAGACUUAAUUAAUCAGUAUCAGGUGAUCCUGAGGCUCAGUGAUGUCACUGUGGGAACUGCUCUGUGGGGACAGGGACAUACCUCCUUCUCUGCUCCUGCUCACAGUGACCCUGAUCUGGUAAAGCUCGCAUCCUGCCCUGACCCUGUCAUGGGCACCAGGCUCCUCUGCUGGGUGGCCCUGUGUGUCCUGUGGGCAGAUCACACAGAUGCUAGAGUCUCCCAAGACCCCAGACACAAGAUCACAAAGACGGGACAGAAUGUAUCUUUCAAGUAUGUUCCAAUUUCCGAACACAACCGCCUUUACUGGUACUGACAGACCCUGGGGCAGGGCCCAGAGUUUCUGACUUACUUCCAGAAUGAAGCUCAACAAGACAGAUCAGGGCUGUUCAGUGAUUGGUUCUCUGCAGAGAGGCCUGAGGGAUCUAUCUCCACCCUGAUGAUCCAGCACACAGAGCAAGGGGACUCAGCCGUGUAUCUCUGUGCCAGCAGCUUAGCCACAGCAUGGCACAGUCGCCUCCUUCCUGUUCACAAACACUCAGGCACUUACUUCUCCUUCCAGCUCUCAGAAGCCCUGAACAAAGGAGCUGCCCUGCUCUUUCCUCAGCAAGGAGAAUGAACGCAUUUGGAACUUCCGGUGUUCUUCUGAUACUAGGAGGUCAGAAAAUAACCUCUGAAAUACAGGAACAGGGAACACUAGGUAGUAAUAAUUUUGGCUUAUGAAUUUCUGGAAUUCCUUGUAUAUAAUUGAAAUUUCUAUAAUUAGGAUAUAACAGAGCUUGGUCUCAGGGAUAGUGACUAACUACAUAUUCUCUUAUAGAACUAUGAAGUUUCAGCACAUUCAUAUUAAACUACUGUUACCACGUGGUCACCAACUCAGACCUACAAUCUACCAAGGAGUGGCGAAGCCAAAAGCAAACACUGUUAAGGCCAUUUACAGCUACCACCCUUGGAAGACAAUUGGAAUAUUUAGUAAGAAUUUCCAUCAAAAUCAAUUAUUCAGAAAUAACUAUUACACACAAUAAUGCAUAUUAACUCAUGUUUAUACAUUGCUUUUUUCCUUCUGAAAAUCUUGUAGUCAUUCUGUGUUUAAUUUCCUUCUUCUCCACUCUAACUUAAAAAAAAUAGAAAUACAAAUUGAGAUUGGUUUCAUAAGAUAAAUCCCACCUGGGAAGGUGUUAAAAGGACACAAUUCAAAGAAGACCUGAAUAAAAUUAUAUCAACUACGUAGGAUUCUUUGAGGUUUCCAAAGAAGAUGUACCAAUUUACAUUCCCAUGAGAGGUAUAUGAGAGUUUUGGAUGGAAUUUUUUUUUUUCUCUCUCUGUAGAUUAGUUUUUCCCUCUACUAAUAGUUUCUCUUGAUAAACAGAAGUUCUUAAGUGACAAUCAUUCCAUGUUUCUCCUGUUUCAGUUAGUGUUUUGUAUUUUGGUGUCCACUUUAGGAAAUCCUUGCUUACUUCAAAAUGAUCGUGUUUUCUUAUAUUUCCUUCUAAAAUCUUUAUAUUUUCCACUUUUCACACUUAGACUCACAAUUGAACUGGAAUUAAUUCUUUGCAGGUGAUAUGAGGAAGAGGUCAAGUUUUAUUUUUCCAAAUGAUUAUUCAAUUUACCCAAUACUAUUUGUUAAGUGGUAAUAGUUUCGUCAUCACCCUGUAAUACCACUUUUGUCAUAAGUCAGUCAUUAUACAUGUGUGGCCUUUUUUCUCGGAUCUCUAUUUUGUUAUAUUGGUCUGUUCUAUCAGUUCUUGCACUGAUAAUACACUGUCUUACUACAGCUUCAUCCUCAUUCUUAAUAUCUGGUAGAAUAAUUUCUCAAGCUUUGUUCCUUUUUAUCAAGUGUUCUUGAGCACUCUUGACACUUUUUUUCACAUACAUUUUAAAAUCAGCUUGCCAAAUUAUUCAAGAAAAAGAUAACAACUGCUGGGAUUUUUGUUUUUGUUUUUGUUUGUUUCCAACUGACUUAAGUGCAUCGCAGAACAAAGGUAAAAAUAUUAAUAGAAAUAUAAAAAUAUCUAACACCCAAAAAUACAAAAUACAAAAUAUCUGGCAUCAAUCAAAAAUUACCUGCAAAGAAGCAUGAAAAAAGGAUCCAUAAUGAAGAGAAGGAUUAAUUAAUAGGAACCAAGUCAGAAAUGACAAAUUGGCAGACAAAGAAAGUCAAACAGUUAUUGUAACUCUGGUCUGUAAGUUCAAAGCUUUGUAGAGACGGGGAAAGGCAUAAUGAGGUCCAAACAAAGCUUCUAGAGAUAAAAAUUACAAUGUCUGUUAUGAAAAAUAUACUGGAUGAAGUUAACAUCAGAUGAGACAUUACAGGAUAAAAUAUUAAUAAACUUGAAGAAAUAAACAAUUCUUAAUGAAAUACAGAGAAUAAGAGGAGAUCAUCAGUAAACUAAGGGACAACUUUAAGUAGCUUAAUAUGUAAUUAGAGUCCCAAAAGCAAAUUUUUAAACUUAAAUUUCUUUAAAGGAUAAUUGGUUAUUUACACUGAAAUAAUUCCAACACACUGCAGGGAUUCUAAUAUAUGCAAAAGUAAAUCUAUAACAAGACUAGCAUAAAGACAGGUGAGGAAUAAAUAAACACAUGUAUCAUUGGAAGGUUUCCAUAAUCUGAGUGAAGUCACUUGAAGGUAGACUGUGUUAAAGUAGAGAUGCAUACUGAAAAUCACAGAGCAACC